rnacentral:rRNA from 1 species
CGUCUGGUGCCAGCAGCCGCGGUAAUUCCAGCUCCAAUAGCGUAUAUUAAAGUUGUUGCAGUUAAAAAGCUCGUAGUUGGAUUUCGGGGCUCCUUAUGUAAUAGUCAUGCGGUGGACACUUGCUUGUUGCUUUAGGGGGGUGUUUUUUGGGGCAACCCGAGGACACCACCCGGCGGCAGGGGAAAGGCCACUGCGGGCGGGGCCCAUUUAUAUUUCUCGAAGACGUCACGGGCCCUUAACUGGUGUACUGUGGUCGCGGAUUCGAGACGUUUACUUUGAAAAAAUUAGAGUGUUCAAAGCAGGCAAUCAAAAACGCUUGAAUACAUUAGCAUGGAAUAAUGGAAUAGGACUUUGGUCUUAUUUUGUUGGUUUCUAGGACUGAAGUAAUGAUUAAUAGGGACAGUUGGGGGCAUUCGUAUUUAAUUGUCAGAGGUGAAAUUCUUGGAUUUAUGAAAGACGAACUUCUGCGAAAGCAUUUGCCAAGGAUGUUUUCAUUAAUCAAGAACGAAAGUUAGGGGAUCGAAGACGAUUAGAUACCGUCGUAGUCCUAACCAUAAACUAUGCCGACUAGGGAUCAGUGGGGAACAAAUCAAAAAACUCCACUGGCACCUUAUGAGAAAUCAAAGUUCUUGGGUUCUGGGGAAAGUACCAGCGCAAGUUGGAAACUUAAAGGAAUUGACGGAAGGGCACACCAGGCGUGGAAUCUGCGGCUUAAUUUGACCCAACACGGGGAAACUCACCAGGUCCAGACAAAAUAAGGAUUGACAGAUUGAGAGCUCUUUCUUGAUUUUUUGGGCAGUGGUGCAUGGCCGUUCUUAGUUGGUGGAGCGAUCUGUCUGGUUAAUUCCGAUAACGAACGAGACCUUAACCUGUUAAAUAGCGACGUCAUUCCUUGUGAAGGACGGAUUUUGACUUCUUAGAGGGACUAUCGGUGACUAACCGAUGGAAGUUUGAGGCAAUAACAGGUCUGUGAUGCCCUUAGAUGUUCUGGGCCGCACGCGCGUUACACUGACAGAGGCAGCGAGUUUUUUUAAAUAUCCUGGCCUGGAAAGGUUUGGGUAAUCUUGUGAAUCUCUGUCGUGAUGGGGAUAGAUCUUUGUAAUUAUCGAUCUUCAACGAGGAAUGCCUUGUAAUCGCGGUUCAUCAAAUCGCGUUGACUACGUCCCUGCCCUUUGUACACACCGCCCGUCGCUACUACCGAUUGAAUGGUUUAGUGAGGUCUCGGGACUGGCGCGGCUUGGCUGUAAAAGGCCGAUCCAUGCUGGGAACUUGCCCAAACUUGAUCAUUUAGAGGAAGUAAAAGUC